rnacentral:rRNA from 1 species
AGCCAUGCAAGUUAGGGAAGCAUUUAUUGUGGACCAACGAACAGCUCAGUAACACAGUUAUUAUUUACUCGUAGAUCAAAGGAUAACCAUGGUAAGCUAUGGCUAAAACAAGAUUAGUGGUUUUCUAAUAGGAAGCAACAAUGAAAAACUCUAUGACUAAGUUUCUGGCCUAUUAGCUAGUAGGUAGUGUAAGGGACUACCUAGGCUAUGAUGGGUAACGGGAAAUGAUCGUUUGAUACCGGAGAGGGAGCCUGAGAAAUAGCUCCCACGUCUAAGGAUGGCAGCAGGCGCGAAAAUUACCCAAUGCAAUAGUGAGGUAGUUAAGAGGCGUGCUAUUAGCACAAGUUAACAGUAAAGAUGUUAGCGGAAACUGGAGGGCAAGUCUGGUGCCAGCAGCCGCGGUAAUUCCAGCUCCAGAAGCGCAUAUGACCGUUGCUGCAGUUAAAAAGUUCGUAGUUUGAGCACAUGCUUGCGAGUAAAAUACAUUACUUAAAGAUGUAAUUAGCGCAACUAGUGUCUAGAUAGGAACAGGAGAAGGUGGUUGUAUUGGGUAGCGAAAGGUGAAAAUUGCAGACCUACUCAGGACAAACUGAAGCGAAAGCGACCAUCUAGAAUGUAUCCGUUAAUCAAGAACGUAAGCUGGAGUAUCGAAAAAGAUUAGACACCUUUGUAGUUCCAGCUGUAAACUAUGCCGACUAGGUGAGAGAAUUAUUCUUGUGCCUUAGGAGAAAUCAAGAGUUUGUGGGCUCUGGGGAUAGUACGAUCGCAAGAUUGAAACUUAAAGAAAUU